rnacentral:rRNA from 1 species
GAUGAACGCUGGCGGCGUGCCUAAUACAUGCAAGUCGAGCGAACAGACGCGGAGCUUGCUCCUCUGACGUUAGCGGCGGACGGGUGAGUAACACGUGGAUAACCUACCUAUAAGACUGGGAUAACUUCGGGAAACCGGCGCUAAUACCGGAUAAUAUAUUGAACCGCAUGGUUCGAUAGUGAGAGACGGUGUUGCUGUCACUUCUAGAUGGAUCCGCGCCGCAUUAGCUAGUUGGUAAGGUAACAGCUUACCAAGGCAACGAGGCGUAGCCGACCGGUUGGAGGGCUCGGCCGCCUGAGAGCUUGGCCACCCUCCAUACUCCUGCGGUAGGCACCAGUAUCGAACCUGCCGCAGUGGGCGGAAGCCUUACGGAGUAGCCCCGCGCGAGUUAUGACAGUCUCCUGAUCGUAAUGCCCGGUUAUGAGUUAAAAACAACUUUGUAAUUAACCAUGCACUGCUUGACGGUACCUAAUCAGAAAGCCACGGCUAACUACGUG